rnacentral:rRNA from 1 species
UACGGGAGGCAGCAGUGAGGAAUAUUGGUCAAUGGGCGAGAGCCUGAACCAGCCAAGUAGCGUGCAGGAUGACGGCCCUAUGGGUUGUAAACUGCUUUUAUACAGGGAUAAAGUAGGGAACGUGUUCCCUUUUGCAGGUACUGUAUGAAUAAGGACCGGCUAAUUCCGUGCCAGCAGCCGCGGUAAU